rnacentral:rRNA from 1 species
UACGAAGGGGGCUAGCGUUGUUCGGAAUCACUGGGCGUAAAGCGCACGCAGGCGGAUCGAUAAGUCGGGAGUGAAAGCCCGGGGCUCAAACUCGGAAUUGCCUUCGAUACUGUCGGUCUCGAGUCCGGGAGAUGUGAGUGGAAUUCCUAGUGUAGAGGUGAAAUUCGUAGAUAUUAGGAAGAACACCAGUGGCGAAGGCGGCUCACUGGCCCGGUACUGACGCUCAGGUGCGAAAGCGUGGGGAGCAAACAGG